ACGUCCAACAAUAUAAACACGUGCGUGUCGCACGUGCAUAUUUGCUAGUAUAGUAAAAUAAUAACAUUUUUGGUACCAAUCAAGUAUCAUUAGAUUCUUUGUUAGUUAUAAAUUCAUAGUGCACCUAUUUUAUGACAUAAAUCUUUAUAUUUCUCUCUAUAUUUUUGGUCAAACUUGAAAAUACUUUCACUCUCCAAAAUUUUUGGAAUGACUUAUAAUUUGGAACGGAGGGAGUAUUCACUUUCUGGUUUUACCUGUGUGUCAUUAUAAAAGUUUAAAAUAACUUAUAUACCAUCGAAGUUUUAAAAAUCUUCUCAGUAUCCUUGUAUGAAAAUUUCUUUCCCUCAAAUGCUACUUCAAUCAAUUUUGCUUGUAACGGCAAGCAACGUCCAGCGAAAAAGACAAUUUUGUCCUCGGUUAUAAGUACAUCAAAAUUUUAUUCUUUUCUUAGAUGCCACUAUAUCUAUGAUUAAAAAAACCACCCUUUUCUCUAUACCAUUAUGACAAAAUUUAUGGCAACAACUAUGUGUGCAUGUGAAAAACUUUAAUAACUAUAGUAAUAGAUUUAAAAUCGAUCCAAAAUAAUUAAUAAUUGCACCUCGAUAGGCAGGGACAAGUCGUUAAAAAUUAGGCUUAAAAGAAUUAUUUUGUAAAUUAUAGAUAAACUAUAUAAUUAGUUAUUUUUUCUAUACUCUAUAUAUAUAAGAUUCGAUAUGAGAAAUCUUAAAAAAAAUCUUAGAUUUUGGUGUAACUAAACCAGGGCCUUGUUUAGUUUUGAAUUUUUUUUGGUUUUGUGUACUGUAGCACUUUAUUUAUUUGAUAAUUAUUAUCUAAUUAUAGACUAACUAGGCUCAAAAGUUUCAUCUCGCGAUUUACAGACAAACUGUGCAAUUAAUUUUUAUUUUCGUCUACAUUUAAUGCUUCAUACAUGUGUCGUAAGAUUUGAUGUGACGAAGAAUCUUAAAUUUUUUUGAUUUUUUUUUAACUAAGGCCUUGUUUAGAUCUAAUUUUUUUUGGAUUUUGACAAGUAGCACUUUCGUUUUUAUUUAACAAACAUUGUCCAAUCAUAGAGUAACUAGGCUUAAAAGAUUCAUCUCGUGAUUACAAACAAACUGUGUAAUUAGUUUUUAUUUUUAUUUAUAUUUAAUACUUUAUGUAUCUUACGCAAAAUUCGAUGCGUCGUAGAAUUUUAAAAAGUUUUUGAUUUUUAGGUGAACUCGACAAGGCUAAGGCCCUGUUUAGUUCCUCACCCAAAAAUUUUUCGUCCAUCCCAUCGAAUCUUUGGACACAUGCAUAGAACAUUAAAUGUACAUAAAAAAAUAAACUAAUUACACAAUUUGACGAAUCUUUUAAGCCUAGUUACUCCAUAAUUAGCCUUA
rnacentral:lncRNA from 1 species